AUGCUUGCUUUGGCAGCACAUAUAAUAAAAAUUGGAACAAUAUGAAGAAGAUUAGCAUGGGCCCUGCACAAAGAUGGUGUGCAAAUUUGUAAAGUAUUUCAAUUUUUU
ensembl:snRNA U6 U6 spliceosomal RNA